GAACCUUACCUGGGCUCGAAAUGCUAAGGAUCAGCUUAUGAAAGUAGGCCUUCCCGCAAGGGAUCUUAGCAUAGGUGCUGCAUGGCUGUCGUCAGCUCGUGUCGUGAGAUGUUGGGUUAAGUCCCGCAACGAGCGCAACCCUUGUCCUGUGUUGCCAUACCGAAAGGUGGAACUCGCAGGAGACCGCCAGGGAUAACCUGGAGGAAGGUGGGGAUGACGUCAAGUCCUCAUGGCCUUUAUGUCCAGGGCUACACACGUGCUACAAUGGACGGUACAAAGGGCUGCCAACCCGCGAGGGGGAGCCAAUCCCAAAAAACCGUUCUCAGUUCGGAUUGCAGGCUGCAACUCGCCCGCAUGAAGCUGGAAUCGCUAGUAAUGGUGGAUCAGAACGCCACCGUGAAUACGUUCCCGGGCCUUGUCACACCGA
rnacentral:rRNA from 1 species